CGGGUCACAGUCCCAUGCCAUCAGCCUGAACACGUGCAUGUAAGAACACACUCUCCUCUCACUCACUCUCCACAGGGCUGCCCAGAGACCUCCCAGGAGGCACAGGCGUCGACUAUUCAAAGCAUUGUGGCUUCCAGUUCUGCACUGUGGUGAUGGAGGUCCCGGGGGUGGCCUACUAAAUACUAAAGUGGCACCGGUGCUGCGCUGGGAGGAGCUGAGAAGGCAGCCCUGGAUGGCUGGUGGAUGAAGGAUCAAUUCUAUGACCAGAGCAGUGCCAGCCAGGAGAAGACUGCCCUGCCUCGCCGUGGGGGGGUCAGGUUAUGCUCCAGAGCAGCUUUCUGGCUUUUGGCUGAGCUGGUGCCCAAGAGGGACAGGAAGCCUCCUUUCUGGGGGGUGGGGGUUUAUGCCCAGAGAUGACCGGCUGGGAUGUGGGGUAGCUGGUGCCCAAACACAAACGCCUGUAGCUGGAGGCCCACAGUCAGGCCUGGGGCUGCCUUCAGGGCCCUUCCCCCAACUCCAUUGCUGUGGGGGUCCCGCCCAGGGACAUUCCUUCUUGGGGUGUGGGAUAAGUGCAGGGCCUGAGCUCUAAGCCUUAGUCAGGGGUGAGAAGGUGCUGGAAUCAAUUCUUCCUCUGGCCCAGACCCUGGAAGGGUUGACAAAUGUAGGUGGCAGUACCCAGGGUGAAUAGGCUGGCAGUGUGCAUGGGCAUGUGAGCAGUGUGCUUGGGCGCGGGCAUCAGGACAGGUGAGUCUGGGCCUCCUGUGUGCCAGCCGGCAGGAGUGGAAAGUGCUUUCGUCCUAGCACAGGUGUGUGAGCACAGGUCAUACUGUGUGAGUGGGGCCUGGUUACAGCUGCAGAGUUCUGAGAGUCAGCUGGCUUUGGGGACACUCUGCUUUGAGCCAGACGCACGCCAGGCCUCAGCCCAGGGGUUCAUCUAUGGGGCCCAGCAGGGGCUCAUUGGAGGGGAUCGUAUAAAGGUCCCUUUCCCUGGGGACUUCCCCUCAUCCUCCUUAGCCUACUUCCACCAGUCUCUGGCUUAUGGGGCAGGGCCAAGACACAAGGCUGGGCCUACUCACUCCUCUCCCAGCUCCUGUCCUCAAUGGCCUCCCACGGGGCAGAGCUGCCUCUCAGGCCAGCUCACGCCCUGACCCCCACUGGGAUGGUCGUUGGCCCUGCAUGGUGCUGCUUUCGGGUGCCCCUGGGCUGCCAAGACUCCUAUCCUAAGCCUGGCCUGACAACUCCAUGAUCAAGAAAGGCAUUGCAGGCCGGGCGCAGUGGCUCGUGCCUGUAAUCCCAGCAUUUUCGGAGGCUGUGGCGAGCGGAUUAUUUGAGGUCAGGCGUUCGAGACCAGCCUGGCCAACAUAGUGAGACCCCCAUCUCUACUAACAAUACAAAAAUUAGCCAGGCAUGGUGGUUGGCAUCUGUAAUCCCAGCUACUUGGGAGGCUGUGGCAGGAGAAUCGCUUGAACCCAGGAGGUGUAGGUUGCAGUGAGCUGAGAGUGCACCACUGUACUCCAACCUGUGCCACAGAGCAAGACUCUGGAAAAAAAAAAAAAAAAAAAAAAAAGGGCCCUGCAGCGCGACGGGCUUAACUCCUGGACUCACAGGUGGACUCCAUGUCCCAGCCUCCCCCACAGCGCCACAUGACCACAUGACUGCUGGGUGCUGGCCUCUGGAAUGUGGGCAGAAUGAGGUGCCACCCUGGGCCUGGUCCACAGAAAGCGGGGGGACACCUCCUGCCUGCACUCACUCCCUGGCUGCUGACUGGGUGCUGACACCCUAGGGCAACUGGGCAGGGUAGGGUCUCUGGGGCUGGGUCUCUGCAGGAGCGCCUGGAGCAGAGCCCCACGCCCACUGUCACCUCCUCCCGAGCUGAGGCCUACGUGAGAACGAACACGUCUCUGGAGUUCAGCACUGGGAUUUCGGGGUUUAUCUGUUACAACAGAUGGUGUCACCUCAACCAAUACAGGUUCUUGAUUGAAGUAAC
rnacentral:lncRNA from 10 species